rnacentral:tRNA from 1 species
GUAGUAAUGGUUUAAAUCGGACUGAAAAUCCGUGUGUCGGUGGUUCAAUUCCACCUCUGGCCA